AAGAGGGAACCCGGUGGGAAUCCGGGACUGCCCCGCAGCGGUGAGUGGGAACGACCGCCGUCAUGAGCACUGGGAGCGAUCCCGGGAAGCGACGGCCAGUAGGUGGGCACGCGAGUGUCCGGGCCCGCGAGUCCGAAGACCU
rnacentral:ncRNA from 1 species